GUUCGAUGUGCGCAGUGUUGAUGAAGUGUCAGGCUAGGUUGAAGAAGAUGGCGAGUAAGGGGGAGCCUGUUGAGUACCGGUGCCUGGUCUGCGCCACCGAUGGCAAGAGGAACAUCUCCACCUCGGUGAAGUGCAAAUCCAAGUUCGAAGCUGUGAAGCAUAUCAACAAAGACUAGCAUAUUAUGUGUUGUAAAUGUAGGCAGUAGUAGGCUUAUCUGGGCUGUAGUAUACUGUAAUGUUUGUAAUAGACUAAUGCCGUGUUGUUUUGGACGAAUUUCAUUUGCUAUUUGGAUUGUUUGAAAUAAUGAUUGUGUAUUGAAUACCUGUCAAAUGGAAACCUGACAAGGGGGUCCAAGUUAUAAUAGUUGUUUGACAGAUUUUGAAAUUUU